UACAGAGGUCUCAAGCGUUGUUCGGAUUCAUUGGGCGUAAAGGGUGCGUAGGCGGCGCGGUAAGUCGGGUGUGAAAUCUCGGAGCUUAACUCCGAAACUGCAUUCGAUACUGCCGUGCUUUGAGGACUGGAGAGGAGACUGGAAUUUACGGUGUAGCGGUGAAAUGCGUAGAUAUCGUAAGGAAGACCAGUGGCGAAGGCGGGUCUCGUGGACAGAUUACUGGAC
rnacentral:rRNA from 1 species